GACGAACGCUGGCGGCGUGCCUAAUACAUGCAAGUAGAACGCUGAAGGAGGAGCUUGCUUCUCUGGAUGAGUUGCGAACGGGUGAGUAACGCGUAGGUAACCUGCCUGGUAGCGGGGGAUAACUAUUGGAAACGAUAGCUAAUACCGCAUAAGAGUAGAUGUUGCAUGACAUUUGCUUAAAAGGUGCAAUUGCAUCACUACCAGAUGGACCUGCGUUGUAUUAGCUAGUUGGUGGGGUAACGGCUCACCAAGGCGACGAUACAUAGCCGACCUGAGAGGGUGAUCGGCCACACUGGGACUGAGACACGGCCCAGACUCCUACGGGAGGCAGCAGUAGGGAAUCUUCGGCAAUUGACGGAAGUCUGACCGAGCAACGCCGCGUGAGUGAAGAAGGUUUUCGGAUCGUAAAGCUCGGUUGUAAGAGAAGAACAAGUGUGAGAGUGGAAAGUUCACACUGUGACGGUAUCUUAACAGAAAGGGACGGCUAACUACGUG
rnacentral:rRNA from 1 species